rnacentral:rRNA from 1 species
GACGAACGCUGGCGGCGUGCUUAACACAUGCAAGUCGAACGGAAAGGCCCUGCUUUUGUGGGGUGCUCGAGUGGUGAACGGGUGAGUAACACGUGAGUAACCUGCCCUUGACUUUGGGAUAACUUCAGGAAACUGGGGCUAAUACCGGAUAGGAGCUCCUGCUGCAUGGUGGGGGUUGGAAAGUUUCGGCGGUUGGGGAUGGACUCGCGGGUUAUCAGCUUGUUGGUGGGGUAGUGGCUUACCAAGGCUUUGACGGGUAGCCGGCCUGAGAGGGUGACCGGCCACAUUGGGACUGAGAUACGGCGCAGACUCCAACGGGAGGCAGCAGUGGAGAGUAUGACACAAUGGGCGGAAGCCUGAGGCAGCAACGCCGCGUGCGGGAUGACGGCCUUCGGGUUGUAAACCGCUGUCGCCUGUGACGAAGCGUGAGUGACGGUAACGGGUAAAGAAGCACCGGCUAACUACGUG